rnacentral:rRNA from 1 species
UACGUAGGUGGCGAGCGUUAUCCGGAAUUACUGGGCGUAAAGCGAGCGCAGGUGGUUUAUUAAGUCUGGUGUAAAAGGCAGUGGCUCAACCAUUGUAUGCAUUGGAAACUGGUAGACUUGAGUGCAGGAGAGGAGAGUGGAAUUCCAUGUGUAGCGGUGAAAUGCGUAGAUAUAUGGAGGAACACCGGUGGCGAAAGCGGCUCUCUGGCCUGUAACUGACAUUGAGGCUCGAAAGCGUGGGGAGCAAACAGG